rnacentral:rRNA from 1 species
CCGACGAUGGAUAGGGGUUCUGAGAGGAAGGUCCCCCACAUUGGUACUGAGACACGGACCAAACUCCUACGGGAGGCAGCAGUGAGGAAUAUUGGUCAAUGGGCGUAAGCCUGAACCAGCCAAGUCGCGUGAGGGAUGAAGGUUCUAUGGAUCGUAAACCUCUUUUAUAAGGGAAUAAAGUGCGGGACGUGUCCCGUUUUGUAUGUACCUUAUGAAUAAGGAUCGGCUAACUCCGUGCCAGCAGCCGCGGUAAUACGGAGGAUCCGAGCGUUAUCCGGAUUUAUUGGGUUUAAAGGGUGCGUAGGCGGCCUUUUAAGUCAGCGGUGAAAGUCUGUGGCUCAACCAUAGAAUUGCCGUUGAAACUGGGAGGCUUGAGUAUGUUUGAGGCAGGCGGAAUGCGUGGUGUAGCGGUGAAAUGCUUAGAUAUCACGCAGAACCCCGAUUGCGAAGGCAGCCUGCCAAGCCAUGACUGACGCUGAUGCACGAAAGCGUGGGGAUCAAACAGGAUUAGAUACCCUGGUAGUCCACGC